AAAAUACGUAAAUAGACAAUAUUUCAAAGAUAAAAAAAUAAACAAUACAUAAUAAAAAUAACAUCUAUGGAGCUUUCAAUUAAAUAAAGAAUAAUUGGACGACAGGAGUUAACAACAUAUCAGCAAUUAAUUCUGUUGACAGAAGUUUAUAUAAUCAUAUUACCGAUAUAUUUAAUUGUAUUUUUCAUUUCAGUGUUUGUAUCUUCCAGUAUUAUAUAUUAGUCUAUGUUUGUUUCGAUUUUAUACAGUAAUCAUCUAUUAUAAAUAAAUAUUUCAUUUGUAAAAACUUAAAUUCCAAUCGCCGUAGCGUAACUCAGGAAGAUAUUUUUUUUAUAUAAAUACCUCAUACCAAAGUCUGUUUUACAACAAUAAAUCAAAUAAAAUAAAAUUUCACUCGACGGUCGUAUUAUAUACGGCCAAAUUGAAUAGCCGCUUUUUCAUUAUAAGAACAGUACAUUACAACCACCUCCGUGACUUGUGACGGCCAUUGCAUUCCAGGCUUUUACAAAAAUAUGACGUUACUCGCGAUUAAAAAACAACCUUAUGUGGUGGGUGUGAGGUCGAAUUUGUGUUUAGUCCAUCAAUACUUAUGAUUUUCUGUUUCAUGUUUUGUUUGAAUUUAUCGACGACGCUAAUUUUUGUUAUCACAUUUGCAAGGAGUUUAGUUCAGCCUUUAGGAUUCGAUACAAGACAACAUAAUGGUGGUCUCGGUGUAUGUACACCUUUGAUGUACACGUAUACACGUGCUAUACCAAAAUAUCUGUAUGAAGCUCCGUCAUGCACCGUCAGUGCUAGCACAACUGAAGCUGCGUUGGAACCAGAACUAACCAAUUGAUCCCAACCGGAUACCGAUGCCUAUCUACUACCUGUGGAAAUGAUUUCUAGUAACAACCUGCAAUUGGUAAUUGGAUAACUGAUUGUGGACUCGAAGCACGAACUUCAGUGGGCAUUUAAUGUGCCAAAACAUACUCGGGUUAUUGUUUCCAAAUUCAAUAUGCCAGUGAAAAACAAAAGGGUUUUCAUAGUCUUUCCACAUUUUAAUGCAGCAUGUGUGAUGAAAUUUGGCACCAUUGUUCUGAAAGGGAUAACACAAACAUAAUAUGCUUUAUGUGGGCAAUCAUAACAGCUUGCAGAUAUUACACGCGAGUGGCUAAUAUGAUAAUCUUUGUGGACUCGCCAAAUAUGGCUGGUAUUAUAUUUCUUGCAAUUGAAAACGACAAUACAUGGGACAAAUAAUUGACUACGGAAAGAAAGAAACCUGGUGACUAAGAUAGAUUUAUUGCCAGUGUAAAAAGGCUUGAAUUAUCAGCAAUGACAAAAAAGCCUAUUUAUUGGUUUCAAAAAUAAAUACUGUUUCACAAUAGGACAAUAUUAUGAAUUGAAAAGAAUAGAUUUAAACAGACCUAGUUGCUGUAAAAAUUACAGAGCCGUUUACGGCAAUGGAAUCUAAAAUAAAAAAUUUCAAGAGUGAAGAAAUGCAUAGUCUCCAUUAUUUAAAUUUUAUUAGAGAUGGAGAUUCUUCUGUGUUUGCUAAUGUGAAAGAAAAAGUACAACAUGGGAACUAAAUAAAAAAAUUGACACCAGUGCACAAGAUUUUAGCUAAUACAAAGCUUCCACACUAUGGAUGAAAUAUUUUUAAACCAAGGUUACUGAAGAACUACUGUGCAAUAAAUUAUUGUACGUAGAGCAAUGGUCAGCCUAGUUCCAUGGCUGAUGAUUUUCAGAUUCGGCCACCGCAUGUAUUUGGAAACUAUGAGAAGAGGAAAAAUUUACUACUCUUUCCAUUCGUAAUUUAUAAUAUAAUUUGUACAUAGUGUUACUUUUGUAAAAUUAGCCAGACAAAUGUGAUUUGUUAUCUAUAAUAAAAAUAUAAAACUAUAAACUGGUAAAUCAUUUGCCAUUGUAUUCAAAUUUAAUUAGAGUAUGUCAUGUUUUAAGUUUGAGAAAUCAUUUCAGAAUUGUGGCAUUUUACUUAAAAACAAAUAAAACCAAAAACUUUCUUCCAAA